GGCGUGCUCGAAAAUGUUAAAGUUCUUAUUUCAUGGUAUAACUUUGGUAUGCUUGGACCUAGAGUCUUCAAACUUGACAUGAAGGUUGGCCAGGAUUAACAGAUGACCACUGGUCAUUUCAAGCUCAUUCAUUUGAAGGUCAAGGUCACUGUGACCUUGAAUGUAAAAAUGUUAAAGUUCUUAUUUCAUGGUAUAACUUUGGUAUGCUUGGACCUAGAGUCUUCAAACUUGACAUGAAGGUUGGCCAGGAUUAACAGAUGACCACUGGUCAUUUCAAGGUCAUUCAUUUGAAGGUCAAGGUCACUGUGACCUUCAGUAUAAAAAAUGUUAAAGUUGUUAUAACUUUGGUAUGCUUGGACCUAGAGUCUUGAAACUUGACAUGAAGGUUGGCCAUAACUAGUUAGUAACCACUGGUCAUUUCAAGGUCAUUCAUUUGAAGGUCAAGGUCACUGUGACCUUGAAUGUAAAAAUGUUAAAGUUCUUAUUUCAUGGUAUAACUUUGGUAUGCUUGGACCUAGAGUCUUCAAACUUGACAUGAAGGUUGGCCAGGAUUAACAGAUGACCACUGGUCAUUUCAAGGUCAUUCAUUUGAAGGUCAAGGUCACUGUGACCUUCAAUAUAAAAAAUGUUAAAGUUGUUAUAACUUUGGUAUGCUUGGACCUAGAGUCUUGAAACUUGACAUGAAGGUUGGCCAUAACUAGUUAGUAACCACUGGUCAUUUCAAGGUCAUUCAUUUGAAGGUCAAGGUCACUGUGACCUUGAAUGUAAAAAUGUUAAAGUUCUUAUUUCAUGGUAUAACUUUGGUAUGCUUGGACCUAGAGUCUUCAAACUUGACAUGAAGGUUGGCAAGGAUUAACAGAUGACCACUGGUCAUUUCAAGGUCAUUCAUUUGAAGGUCAAGGUCACUGUGACCUUCAAUAUAAAAAAUGUUAAAGUUGUUAUAACUUUGGUAUGCUUGGACCUAGAGUCUUGAAACUUGACAUGAAGGUUGGCCAUAACUAGUUAGUAACCACUGGUCAUUUCAAGGUCAUUCAUUUGAAGGUCAAGGUCACUGUGACCUUGAAUGUAAAAAUGUUAAAGUUCUUAUUUCAUGGUAUAACUUUGGUAUGCUUGGACCUAGAGUCUUCAAACUUGACAUGAAGGUUGGCCAGGAUUAACAGAUGACCACUGGUCAUUUCAAGGUCAUUCAUUUGAAGGUGAAGGUCACUGUGACCUUCAAUAUAAAAAUGUUAAAGUUGUUAUAACUUUGGUAUGCUUGGACCUAGAGUCUUCAAACUUGACAUGAAGGUUGGCCAGAACUAGUAAGUAACCACUGGACAUUUCAAGGUCAUUCAUUUGAAGGUCAAGGUCACUGUGACCUUGAAUGUAAAAAUGUUAAAGUUGUUAUAACUUUGGUAUGCUUGGACCUAGAGUCUUGAAACUUGACAUGAAGGUUGGCCAGAACUAGUAAGUAACCACUGGACAUUUCAAGGUCAUUCAUUUGAAGGUCAAGGUCACUGUGACCUUGAAUGUAAAAAUGUUAAAGUUCUUAUUUCAUGUUAUAACUUUGGUAUGCUUGUACCUAGAGUCUUCAAACUUGAAAUAAAGAUUGGCCAGUACUAGAAGAUGACCACUGGUCAUUUCAAUGUCAUUCAUUUGAAGGUCAAGGUCACUGUGACCUUAAAUGUUAAAAUGUUAAAAUUGUUAUAACUUUGGUAUGCUUGGACAUAGAGUCUUCAAACUUGACAUGAAGGUUUGCAAGCACACUUAGAUGACCACUGGUCAUUUCAAGGUCAUUCAUUCUAAGGUCAAGGUCACUGUGACCUUGAAUGUAAAAAUGUUAAAGUUCUUAUUCCAUGUUAUAACUUUGGUAUGCUUGUACCUAGAGUCUUCAAACUUGACAUAAAGUUUAUUUUCUUACAUUUGAUAAUGAAAUUGAUGGAAACUUCAAACAAUAUGUUACUAAUUUGCUAAUAAAAAAAUUGAGAUCAAACUUUCCUAAUUGUCAAUUCAAGUUCAUAUUUGUGACCUUAAAUGUUAUUGUUGUUCAUGUAUAUGCAUGCAUUCAAAACAUAACACAAGGUUUGCUCAUGCCUUGAAAAGUACUUACAUUUCAUUUUGACCU